CAGCCGCCGCGGUAAUACGUAGGUGGCAAGCGUUGUCCGGAAUUAUUGGGCGUAAAGGGCUCGCAGGCGGUUUCUUAAGUCUGAUGUGAAAGCCCCCGGCUCAACCGGGGAGGGUCAUUGGAAACUGGGAAACUUGAGUGCAGAAGAGGAGAGUGGAAUUCCACGUGUAGCGGUGAAAUGCGUAGAGAUGUGGAGGAACUCCAGUGGCGAAGGCGACUCUCUGGUCUGUAACUGACGCUGAGGAGCGAAAGCGUGGGGAGCGAACAGGAUUAGAUACCCGUGUAGUCCCUGUCUCUUAUAC
rnacentral:rRNA from 1 species